CCCAGCCCGGGAGCGCCCGUGUCCGCUGCGGCAGGAGGGAGCACCGGGUGCUCAAGGAAAACUGGCUUUUCCUGAGAACUGACUUCUCGAAGCGCUAGAAUGUGGCCAAUUUUAAUAGAAAUUGUUUAUACUAUUCACUUUCCUGUACCCUAGACCUAGUAUACUGACCGUGAUCAACUUCUAGACUUGAUGUCAGCGCCCUUUGGCCUCCUGUGGCCAGCAGCACUGCAGGUGCCUCAAGGAGGAAGGGCGGCAGGAGGCCAAAGGUAGAGCUAGAGAGCCUGGGGCAGAUCCAGAGCCUC
rnacentral:lncRNA from 12 species